GCACUGCGCGAGGGGAGAGGAGGGCGAUUACGGCAAAUCGCAGCCCGUCACCCAGCGCGGAGCCAGCCCCGCCGCACGCUCUCCGCUACCCCGCGUAACUGCGGGCAAUCUGACCUCGGCUGCAGGUCCCCUCCGCCGGCCGUGACCUCCUUUCUCUGCCCGUGUGCGCGUCUGCAGAGCGGUUCCUGCGGAAUGUGCUGCCCCUGAAACGCGAUCGCGGCUCCUCUCUCUCUCUCGCUCGCCCGCUCCCGCUCCGUCUCUCGCUCGCUCGCUCUCUCUCCUGGCCGCAACCAGAGCCAGAACACAACAACAACACGGCCUCCCCCACCCCCUUCCCCAAACACACGCCGAAGAGCCCCAGACGAGCCGGGAGGGGGUGGAGGGAAUCCCCCGGCAGCGGAUGGAUGGCACCGGUUACCUUCCGCGAGCCUCUUCGCGAGAGGGGGCAAAAAGCAGACGAAUACCGAGAGAAUACCUUGUGCCUCCCCCUCCUCCUCGGCGGGCGCCUCUUCGCACUCCCGGCGCUAAAGGUGGACGGCCGGAUCGGCUCCGGCGGGGGAGGGGAGCCGCGCCGGCAAUUAGCGCCGAGGAAUUAACGCCGAGCCCGGCCCGAGCCCCGGCCUCCCGGUGCGGGCGGGCGCGGAUCGCGAGCGCUGGUGCUGAGACACAGGACCUGAUAACAGCUAAUUGAAAGGUUAAUCUACAUAGGCUGUGACAGAAGAGGUCCCUCCCCACUUUUUUAUCUGCUGUUGGCAAGUGGGAAAUUGAGAGCUCCCCCCACCUUUUUCCCUCAAAAAAAAAAAAAAAAGAAAAAAAGAAAAAAAAAAAGAAAAAAAAAGAGCAAGGGGGGAAAGGAGGCGAUAAAGUUUGGGGGAGGCGCGGCCCCGCGGCCGCCGUUGGGGCUGAGGAGGGGGCGCGCAGGGCGGGAAGGCCGCGGAGCCAUGGAGCCACGCUGCCGAAGGGCGCGCAACCAACGCGGUAAAGUUUUAAUCCCCGAGGUGGUUUUGUCAGUCAUGGUUCGCAAACACCUCUUUUCGCUCAAGUGACCAGACAUCAUGGGCUGUGGUACCAGGCAAGGGAGGAGUAGGCGGUCCUGCCCACCUGGGCAGCUCCUCCAGUUAGCGCCAACCCUGAGCCCCAUUCCUGAGGUAACAUCCUUUGCCAUGUGUUUGGGUGUCCCUCUGCCAAGCUUUACGGGAUUAACGUCUGGUCCUGAGAAGGAAAGAUAAAGGAAACCAUUUAUAAAUAAUAAUAAUAAUAAUAAUUGUGUACACAGAGGGGAAAAAAAAAAAGAAAUGAGAGUGGGCAGCAAAUGAGCUCCUACAAUAAAUCAACAAGGUCUUUCCUAGAUCAUGUAUUGCACGUAGACCAGUAACGGGAAAAAAAUGUUUCCAUAAUAAUACAUUAGCCGUUUAGGUUUAGUGCAACUUUUUCAGUCCAUUCCUGUGGAUGCUGAAUAAGGAAGCUCCUUGGUGGUGUUUCAGAGCGCUGUAAAAUUGAAUGACCUACUUACAGACAUCACCAGGUGAAAAUGUUUUUCCAGCACAUAGCUGUGAUACGUACCUGUUGACUGAAGGUCUGGUCUUUUAGUGGCCAGAUGCAGCCUUUUAAAUGUAGAGCAGCGAACCGAAAUGUGCAGUAACCUAAUAUUUAUUGGAAAAUCCUUCAAAGUUCAUGUAUUAUGCAGGAUUUGGCUGUGAUUGAAAAUGGUUUUAAAAUUAUUGGAAACAAUGUAAAUCAUUACAGCAUAAUUUGUAGCAACAGUAUUCUGAAUGUUGUGUCAACAUUUCCAUUAUAGACCUUUUUUUUUUUUUUUCCUGGGAAAUUUACAACUUGGUUAGUGGUAAGAGAGAAAAAUAAUCUCCUGAAACUGAAACUUGGCGUGGUGCAUCCCAGUUCAGGAAACAAAACACUGGAGAAAGCUUGACAAUCUGUUUGGCCACUUUUAAAUUAUGAGUGCUCUGAAGAAUAGCACAGAAAAAAAAACCCAUAGAAGUCUUUAUUUUAAAUACACAUAUUUGUUCCUCUUAAUUAUUUUUACAAACAUAAACUUGAGAAGACAAUGUAUCCUUAGGUAUUGAGUUCCAGGUUUUAAUGUAUUCAAGAAUCUUUUGUUUGAAGAUGAAGUCCUAUGGAUCUCGACAUUUACAGGUGUAGCUAACACUAUGUAAAGCACAUGAACUUCUUUAUGGAUUAAUCAUUCACUGAUGAAGUUAGAUCUGCCAUCAUUGUCAAUUUUACUCUUUCCCAAGAAACAGUAGUGCUGUUUCAAAAGAAUUGCAACAUGUGAAUUUAGGGCAGUUCAGUUUGAAAAACAAUUGGUAGUCUGAAACAAUGUGUGUUGCACAGACAAAUCAUACGUGCCAGAAACACUUUGGAGCUAACCAAGAAUGUCUAGUAUGUUGGGCGCGUUUUGCUUUGUGAUCUAGAUAAGAAAUAUCUCGCUUUUCUUGUGUGUAAACACAAUAAUUCUUAUUUAAAACUGAAGCUACAUUAAAAAUAACCACUGAAAAGUUAUAAGCCCAUCAAGGAAGUCAGUGUAAGCAAUUCAAUUCAAAUAAGCAAACUAAGCAAAUAAAACUUGAAUAUGUCUACUACUGCAGAACUCUGGGGCAUCUGUUCUCCUGCAUAUGCUAUAGAGCUAAUGAGGUACAACAACAGGUAAUGCCCCCAGACAGUAACAAGUGUCUGGACGCCUACACAUCAAGUAUACCCAUGCCAUCUUCUAAAAAAUGUCCCUAUUACUAAAAGUAAAAAAAUACAAUGCUCUCUAAACCCAAAUACACUCCCAUCUGCUUUUAGAAGGAAGUUUUAUGGGUCAGUUCACCCUGUUCUGUUAAUUUCCUUGCUUCAGUUACAGUGUAAACACCCUUAAUGUUUUUUUUUUUUUUUUUUCCCUUUGGAAAAAUAUGUUUGGUUGCACAUCUGUAUUGAAGUACACAUAGUAACUAUAUCCUUACUUCCAACUGUCCUUAGGAUGUUUCCAAAACCUCACGUGCAGUGGCUGUUUUUGAAUCAGAAGAAAGGAAGAAGCUAAGGGAGUGGCAGCCGGCAAGAGUCCUGUAAGAAGGCCCACUUCCAUGGCGCUUUACUUGAAAGAUGAAUAUUCACAGCUAUGGCUUGGAAGGGAAGAGGCAGCCAAAAGGAAUCAUUAAGCUGAGCUAAAUGAGCAGAACUGAGAGGCAAGAUGUGUCUCCCUUCUCCAUCCAAUCACUGAAGGAAAGUGAGAUUUGCGUAGGAAAAUCUGAGCUGAAACAUAUU